UGGAACUCAAAAUUUCAUGAAACAUAGUUCUUAAAGAAAGCGUCUUGGAAAUUGUAGAAAAUAUUUUUGACAAUUAAAUACAAAAAAUGUCAUGAAAGGGGAAAAUAUCGUAGAACAUUCCCGUAGAACUGAAAAGAGGAAGGUCUUAUUGUCACAUGGAACCGGUCUUCUCCCCAGAUGACGUAUUCAAGUGUUGCAAUCGCAGAUUCUUUUAUUGAAGGGAGGGGACUUAAAGACCACUUCUACUGUCUGCACUUUUUUUCGCUAAGAAUGAGAAUCAGGGAGUAAUCUCACUGCUUGCGAUUUGAGUGGAUGCAUGUACGAGCACUUCGUCUUGCGUCUAGUUUAAAAAUAAUCGCAAGCAUGUCUAGGGCAUUUGAAUGCAGUGUGAAUGGUUCCUGAGAAUGGUAAAAAAUAUUUUAUUACCCUAAAUGUUUUCUCUCACUCUUUGUUGAAUGGAUCUUUCUCAACGGUGAUUGGAAGUUUGGGAAUGACUAUUCACUUGAGAAAAAUUCGCUCUCAUUUACAUACGAAAGAAUUACAGACAUUCACACUGCGUCUGAUUGUUGAAGCGCACGCUAAUGUUUAGAAACUGCGUAUGCGCGAAUCACUUUCACGUGCGAUCGAAAUUGAAAGUUGUAAGCAGUGAGAAUGCUCUAGAAUCUUGUAUUAAACUAAAAAGGUUUCAAGCGAAAAUGUUGCGUAAUUUUUAGUGGCGCGCGAAGUUUCUUUGGUUCUGGUUUCUAAAGAACUCUUUUAUGUUGAUAAAAUAAUUAAUAUUUUUUUUUAUUUAAUAGCUUUAUGAAUGCGCGCUAGUUUUUUCCUUUUCAACAAAGUACCCUUUUCUGAAAGGAAGCACUUUGCUCUUUUUUAUUCAUAAGGAGAACUCUAAAUAAAUGUUUGGUACUUAUAUACUAUUGCAAGCAUAUUGGCGACACAACAUGACAGCCGUCUCCAAAAAUACUAUUGGAGCUAUCCCGGCGGAUAAUACUGUAGAUCAAAUUUUUAUCAUUUCAAAGUUCUUUAGUAAGGUAGGAAGAAACAGAAAUGGCAAAGUAGAAUGGGUACAGAAGCAUCAAGUGUGUAUAUGCAACUAACACCCUGAAACAAAGUAAAAAGGUGUUACAUAAAGAAAUUAAGUCACCAAAUUAAUUUUGAAAGGAACUUAGCCUAUAAAAGUUUAUGAGAAUCAUAUGAAAAUUCAUAAAUAUGCAUCGGAGAUACACUACUCAUGAACAUUUUUCGUUCUUCCGUAGUACGACCUAUUCACUGUAACUUCAUUCACCAGAAACCUGAAGCCGAAAAAUUUUCAAUACUGCAGCUGCACUACCAGACCUGUAAAGAACGAGCAAGAUGCAAAUUGUGUGAUGCUACAGAGAUACCAGAAUAAUUCAACUUUCUUGAGAACUUACUAUUUUCUGUAAGCGUCCUUUAAUUUUGGAGUUUGUGUUUUCAAUUGAUUUACUACAAUAUUUUGUCAUCUACCAAUGAAAUAAUGUGUGUGAUUGUUAUAAAGAUAUGUCUUAUGAUCAAUGGAAGUUAAAAAAUAAGAGGGAUGCGUGUAUUCAUUAAACCAACAAGAAAAUGAAUGCAAAGGCCAUAUUCAGAACUAAAACCCAGAUCACUUAAGUAAAAAGUGAAUAGAUAUGUAGUGUUGUGUUAUAAUUGUUGUUUAGUUUCCAAUUAUACGGGAAUUUAAAAAUCAAAAUAGGUUUCUUUUCAAAUUUAUAAGUGCAGUAAAUUUAUUGAUGUUGAGCUUGUUGUUGAUGCAUGUAUCCUUGGUGACGUGUGCACAAGUUGCAGUGGUAAAUAAUAUGUGAUAUUAAACCAUAAUGUCUUAUAUUUAUCAAGUUUUGUUAACAGUAAGAUUGUGAAAAGGGUAAAAAGCUCAUUCCUAACUCUCUGUAAGCAAGUUCUCAUGAAAAAUUUUUGAACAACAGUUGUUUCACAACACAGCAAAAGAUCUUUUUUUUUUGGUAAUUUAUCAAAAAUGGAUUUUAUCAAAAACAAAGCCAAACUAAACUGAAACAGAUAUUCUUUGUAAUAAUUAUCUUGUGACAGAUGAAAACCUAAAGGUUGUUACAAAAUUAUGGCAUGCAUAUAACACCAAGAAUUGUGAUGUCAAUUUUUUAGAAAACAGUUCAAGAAAGAAAAUCUAAAAAUAUAAUUUAGCAUUCAAUUAUGUCACAACAUUAUGCAAUUAAUUAUCUGUCAUAGUUAUUGAAAGAAUAAUUUGCGAUUUAAAUUUAGGAAUUAAAAGAAAUUAAAGAGGUAGGAAAUAGGUAAUGGCUUGAUAGGAUCACUAAUGUAAGUAUAUAUCAUGGAAACUACAUCAAUUCAUAGGUUUUUCUUUUUUUUAAAAAAAAUAAAGAAAGCUUACUAACUUGAGCUAAACACACACAACCAUUAAAAUCAUACUGUUGUCAAACAAAAAUCUAUUGACAAUUUGAAAGAGUAUUUAUCGAUUGCAUAAUUGAUGUUCUUUGAAACCCUUUUACCAAGAGAAAUAAAUAAAGUACAGUGUGACUUCCAUAAACUUGAAACAAAUCUUUAAUUUCAAUCUAUAAAAUCUCGAUAUAAGAUUUCUCUGAACUUUAAAACAAGCUAAUAGCUUUAAAUCUUUUAGGAAUUUUCAGAUUGUGCAACCCCUCCUCAUCUUUAAGAUAUACUAUAUGUUAAAACAAUAUGAUAUAGUUAUAAAAAAAAAUUCAUUUAUUUGUAUCUCUGAAACUAACCAUUUGUAUUUAUUAACAUCAUAACUUUUUUAUUAAACUGUAUUCUUAUGUUUCAUAAUGGCUGCCUUAAUAUACAUUUUCAGAAUCCUUGUUGAAAAGAAUACAGAAAAAGUAUUCACAUUAGGUACCAAACGUAAAUAUUUAUGCUAAGAAAUAAUAAAAACGCUGAAUUUAAAAAUAUUUGUUGUCUGUUAUUGAUAAAUUCGUAUGAGAUUUGAUAUUUUUAUAUGCCUUUUAAUGUUAUUAUUUUUCCUUUAUUAGUUAUAAGACAAUUGAGUUAUUACAAAAAAUUAUAUGUUGUGUUCAAGAUAGUAAAAUUUUUGCUAUUAUACAGUUUUAAAUAUUUGAAUAAAUUUCUUAAGUGCACUUUGUAUGUUACUUUUGUAAAGUUUAAGCAAUAUUCUAUAAUAUGCAUGUUUCUUGGUAUUUUUCCAACAUAUCUUUCGAUUAACACUUCUGAUUUUAAAAAAAUAAGUGCAUUAUAAUAUUACAUUAUUUUAUUGUAACAUUAUGUUGUGUAAUUUAAUUAUAAAAUAAACACAUAUUUUAAUUCGAUUUGAUAACUGUUUUCCUUUUUUAUAUAAUUUUAAUGUUGUUCUUAGUAAUGAAUUUGUAUUUUAUCUAUACUUUACAAAAAUGCAAAAUUUCUGGAAGUAAAGAACUAGCAUGUUGAUUUUAUGUUUAAUUUUUCUAAAAUAAUGGACACCAGAUACAAUUUUUAAGGUGGCUAGGAUUUGUAAACCCCUGUAUGCAUAUAUAUAUAAUAUUUAUUCUUAUUUUUUAAUGAGUUGAGUGUAAUUGUUAUUUAGAAACGUAAUAUCAAUUGUGAUAUAUUAUGUGAUAUUUAAUUUGAGUGGAUAGCUUGAUUUUUGUUACUACUUCUAUUUUUUAUUAUAAAAUUUAUUUAUUUUUCUUAUAAAAAGAAGAAAUUUUAGUAUUGCUUAUUGUUAUUUUGUUUUAUAAACAUUACUAUUGGAUUAGUCAUUAUAGGACAUUAGAAAAGUGCUGUAAUGUUAUGAUUUAUAAAAAACAGUGGUUGUAAGCUUUUA
rnacentral:lncRNA from 1 species